UACGGAGGGUGCAAGCGUUAUCCGGAUUCACUGGGUUUAAAGGGUGUGUAGGCGGGCUGUUAAGUCAGUGGUGAAAUCUCCGGGCUCAACCCGGAAACUGCCAUUGAUACUAUCAGUCUUGAAUUCUGUUGAGGUGGGCGGAAUGUGUCGUGUAGCGGUGAAAUGCUUAGAUAUGACACAGAACACCGAUUGCGAAGGCAGCUAGCUAGACCGACAUUGACGCUGAGGCACGGAAAGCGUGGGGAGUCAAACAGG
rnacentral:rRNA from 1 species